CACCAACUUUACCUUGACGAUCUUUUGGGGCGGUGACGUCAUUGUUGUCUGUUUGGCUAAAUUCUGGUCUGCAUGCAUGUAGAUUGUUUACCUCUCUCUCAGCGGCGGGUGGUUUGGCCAUCGCGGUAACAUGGAAUGGGCUUUUCUUUACAAAAUCGGGGACCUCAGUCAGCAAAGUGUCGAAUGGGAAACCGAUCAUGGAAAUGGAUGGAGGGCCCUGAGGAAAUUUCAUAUCUGAUGUGCCAUUCAUCAGUCCAGUGCAGAAGUCAUAAAUUAUGCUUCCUAUUACCGGAUCGGUGUAUCCCAGUUACAAUCCCCCCUUUUUUUCCUCCCUUCUCUCUGUUCCUGCUAUCAAGUUUAUCAGUAAAAAAACUUGAAACUGUGCAAAUGUCUCCGUGGAGGUCAUUUAUAUAAAAAAAUAAAGAAAAAAAUGAACCCGCAAUAAUAAUAGAAUUGAUAGUAUUAGGCAACAAAGAAAGAUUAUGUUUCAUGAAUUACAACCCUUCGCCUUGAUGAUUACCGUUGGUCAGAACAGGGUUGUGUUGGGCAAACUGCCCACCUAAGAGAUAUGGUGAAUUUUCAGAGUUGCAUAUUCUGUGUUCAUGGGUUACGG
ensembl:lncRNA